UCACACGUGUUCAUUGCUUCUUGCACAAGAUCACGCAAUCGGUAGGAGACAGCAUGAGCGGGUGUAGUAUGGGUAUUGAUUGUCCAUCUAAACCCCCUGACUGAAGAAACUUUUAAAGCUUCUACGAUGUUUUACCUAUAAAGGCUCAAAUAUUUUCAGCUGUGAGGCAGCGGCUACAGUUGUGCUGAAGAAUCCUUCUCUAACUGUUACUUGCUAAUGGCGGAGAAUGUAAGAACUACAGUCAUUAGAUUCCAUUGAUGGCUUCAUUUUGGGGCACAUGUAUUCGGUGACUGGUUGCUUGUUCAUCGGCAGUGAUGCAACUUGAGUAGAGCUAGUUUUAUUGCUGUGUUUGGAGAACAUCUGAAAUGAGUGGUGGUGUUUGUUGUUAAACCAUGUUUGUAUUGCAUAAAUGUUUAUGCAUUGAUUGUUACCAAUAAAGAAAGAUGCUUGCUUGUAA